UACCAGCACCCCGAGUGGUCGCGACGUUUAUUGGGCCUAAAGCAUCCGUAGCCGGUUCUACAAGUCUUCCGUUAAAUCCACCUGCUUAACAGAUGGGCUGCGGAAGAUACUAUAGAGCUAGGAGGCGGGAGAGGCAAGCGGUACUCGAUGGGUAGGGGUAAAAUUCGUUGAUCCAUUGAAGACCACCAGUGGCGAAGGCGGCUUGCCAGAACGCGCUCGACGGUGAGGGAUGAAAGCUGGGGGAGCAAACCGG
rnacentral:rRNA from 1 species